rnacentral:rRNA from 1 species
CGGCGGACGGGUGAGUAAUGCCUAGGAAUCUGCCUGGUAGUGGGGGACGAACGUUUCGAAAGGAACGCUAAUACCGCAUACGUCCUACGGGAGAAAGCAGGGACCUUCGGGCCUUGCGCUAUCAGAUGAGCCUAGGUCGGAUUAGCUAGUUGGUGAGGUAAUGGCUCACCAAGGCGACGAUCCGUAACUGGUCUGAGAGGAUGAUCAGUCACACUGGAACUGAGACACGGUCCAGACUCCUACGGGAGGCAGCAGA